rnacentral:sRNA from 1 species
CCGUUUUAAGGCCCAUCUGGGGAACGAA